rnacentral:rRNA from 1 species
UACAGAGGGUGCGAGCGUUGUUCGGAAUUAUUGGGGCGUAAAGCGCUUGUAGGCGGCACGUCAAGUCGCGUGUGAAAUCCCCAGGCUUAACCUGGGAAGUGCGCGCGAAACUGACGAGCUUGAGUGCCGGAGAGGGUCGCGGAAUUCCCGGUGUAGAGGUGAAAUUCGUAGAUAUCGGGAGGAACACCCGUGGCGAAGGCGGCUCUCUGGGACGGUACUGACGCUGGGACGCGAAAGCGUGGGGAGCGAACAGG